UUUCCGGUGCGUCUCUAGUGCAACUCUUGGUUUUUUAUACAAGUAUUGCACUUGAGACGGCCGAAAU
rfam:Drosophila ananassae strain TSC#14024-0371.13 Ctg01_18752, whole genome shotgun sequence.